UAAAAGAGACCGAGGGCGCGUCCUUCGGCUCUAUUUAUCCCUUUUUUCCCAGGGCGCCAUCGCAACCGCCGCUAUAAUAAUGGUGGGCACUGUCCCACCGUUGUUUCUGCUCUCGAAGCUCUACAACAGCAGACGGCUGUUGUAGGGCGUAAGCGUUAUCAAAACAAACGCAUUUACAACAAUCUCCCCACCAGUGUAGCGCCCCUGGGCGUUACACUCUUCUAACGUUUGUUUGUUUAUCUUAUGCAUCCUAAUCUGUCACGAAACCACGCGGUUUCCCUAUCUCGCGCGCGCCUCAUUCGUUCGUUUCGCGUUUCCCGACAUCCAGAACCGCUAUCUUAGCUGCCGGUCUUUCUAGUAUCCCGCAUGUCGUUUGCACCGUUGCCCUUCUAACCUGACCGUCUUUAGCACGGGUCACUUCUAGAACGCGUCCCAUUGGCCAGGUAUUCCUCGGUAAAUUCCCGUCCGCGAUUACCACUACGUCUCCCACCUGGAUCGGCGGCACCGGGUGGAACCAUUUCGUCCUGCGGGUGAGUGUUGGUAGAUAGUCUGCAAUCCACCGCUUCCAGAAUAUAUCCGCGUUGGUUUGCAGGGCACCCCAUAACGACCGUAUUGAAGUCGGUGAAUCAUCGAAAAAAGCGGCUGCUUUACUCCCAUCGGCACUACCGAGCAAUAAGUGGUUCGGCGUUAUCGGACAGUCCAGCUCAUCGUCGAUCGGCGUCUUUGAGCUCUCUCGCCGCCCCGACGAAGUUGGUACCCCGAUCGCUUAUUAUCUCCCUCGGCGAGCCUCUUCUUGCGAUGAACCGGCGGAUAGCUAAAAUACAGGAAGCAGUUGUUAGUGCAUGAGCUACUUCGAGGUGAACCGCCCUUGUAGUAAGACAGGUGAACAGCGCUCCCCAGCGCUUCUCCGAGUGACGUCCCACGACCACGAGUAUCGGUCCAAAAUAAUCUAGACCGGUAUACGUGAAGGCCCGUUGAUACACUGCUACCCUCUGCCGAGGAAUGUCCCCCAUCAGGGGUGGAUUUGGCACGGCGUUCCAUAUUUUACACUGCUGACAGUCUCGUCGUACCCGGUUAAACUCCACUAGCAGUUUCGGUAUAUAGUACCGCAUCCGGAGUUGAGCCACCACUGUUCUGUGGCUCUGAUGACAAAAGCGCUCGUGGAAGUCUCUGAUGAUCAGAUCUGUGACGGGGUGUCUUCUUGGCAAAAGCUUGUAGAGCACACUGUUCCGGUUAAUCGCCUGUUUCCAAGGAUGUUUCUUCCGCGCAUCGCUGCGCAGGCAUUUAAUAUCGGCAGCAAACCCUUCCGACUGCACCAACGUGUAGAGUGUCCGUUCCGCAGCUAGCAGUUCAUCCUGUGUCAGUGGCCCUGUUACCUUCUUCACUUGCCUAAUCCGUCGCCGAGUGUUCCCGAUAUACCGAAGAACAUAACCGACCGCUCUCAAUAGUUUCUUCCAGCGUGAGAAACGAGUGAAGUCGACUACAACAUCAACCACGAUUCCCACAGGAACCCUGGCCCUCGGAACCAUCUGCUGGAUGAGGUUAAGUCCGGAACUCCCUGCCACUUCGUCCCGUCAUCCGCUACGUUGACCUUAGUGGAAAGCCACCGCCACUCGUUAAUCUCUGUCGUCUCGACCAGCUCACUCACCCGAAAGGCGACGAACGUGCUGUAUCGCCUAUGGUCCGAUCGUAUCCAGCUCACAACGUUCCGCGAGUCCGUCCAGAACACCCUCCUGGUAACCUUCAACCGAUGCGUCUUGAUGAUGUGCUCCGCGAAUCGUGCUCCUAUCACCGCCGCUUGAAGCUCCAACCUUGGUAUGGAUAAAAGUUUCAGCGGUGCGACUCGUGUUUUGGACCCAAUUAAAGCACACUCUACUAUCCCGUCUUCCUCGAAACGCAGACACACAUAACGUUUGAGAGCCAUUUCGCGAUUGCAUGGUAGGCGCACGUCGUCAUACUUCCACAAUAGGGACGUUUGAUACCGGUCACCUAUCAAUUUAGUUCCGGUAUUCAGCAUCUCA